AUUGAACGCCGGCGGCAUGCCUUACACAUGCAAGUCGAACGGCAGCGGGGACUUCGGUCCGCCGGCGAGUGGCGAACGGGUGAGUAAUGUAUCGGAACGUACCUUUCAGUGGGGGACAACGUAGCGAAAGUUACGCUAAUACCGCAUAUUCUCUGAGGAGGAAAGCAGGGGACCUUCGGGCCUUGUGCUGAUGGAGCGGCCGAUAUCAGAUUAGCUAGUUGGUGAGGUAAAGGCUCACCAAGGCGACGAUCUGUAGCGGGUCUGAGAGGAUGAUCCGCCACACUGGGACUGAGACACGGCCCAGACUCCUACGGGAGGCAGCAGUGGGGAAUUUUGGACAAUGGGCGCAAGCCUGAUCCAGCCAUGCCGCGUGAGUGAAGAAGGCCUUCGGGUUGUAAAGCUCUUUCGGACGGGAAGAAAUUGGUGGGGCUAAUAUCCCCAUCGGAUGACGGUACCGUAAUAAGAAGCACCGGCUAACUACGUGCCAGCCGCCGCCGUAAAAC
rnacentral:rRNA from 1 species